CUGGCCUACCGAGAUACUGGGAAAAUUCCUGGUAGGCCGGUUUACCUUUGGGCGGGUGUGCCUAGUGCACAUCGGACAGGGAUGCAUGGCCCAAUUGCAGGGUGACCAGCAGAAGGGGAAGCGCGGAGGAGGAGCUCCUGUUCCUUCACCUGGUCUGACAGGAAGUACUCGCUGAGAGCACAGAACUGCUUCCUGUGUCAGACCGGGGAGAGUGCACAGGAGCUCCACUAUCUCAGCUCAGCCACGCUACACAGGAUGAACAGGGGGCAAUGGGACACAUGGAGA